rnacentral:lncRNA from 1 species
CCUUCGUUCCCUAAGUUCUCCAAAUUGCAUGGAUUUGUCUCUUCUAUUUUUUUUUUUUCUUGGUACCGGGGAUCAAACUCAGGACCUUGCGCUUGGGAGGCAGGCGCGAUGCCACUGAGCUACAUCCCUAGUUUGCCUCUUCUUUUAUUGUUCCUAUUUGUAGGACUCAGAAUCAGUGGAUGACCUGCAGUACCUGUGGUUCCUCGCUGUCACACAGGGUUGAAGGUUUUUCCGAUCUGCAACCCAUCACAUGCUCCCCUGAGAACCACAUCCAAGAUAUAUCGAUCCCAGAUGGACCCGACUCAGCAUUGCAACACAGCAGAUUCCUUUUCGAAAUGAACCCUGAGGAGAUAAUGAUAAUCCUUUUAAUGUCAUCCUGCUAGAUGCUAA